GCAAGAGGGACCUGAGUUUUAAUACAUGUAUGUAAAAACUGUUGCUGACAAAACCUCUGUUAACAUUGAAACCAACUUGCAAUGUUCUAAACUUUAAUUUUAUAAGGUAGCUCCACAGCAUUUGGAUAUGUGUGGACACCAACGUAACCAGGAGCGCAGUUGUGUAAGAAAUUCAAACAAAGUACAGUUUAUAUUUUUUCCCCUCUUUUGUAAACAUUUAUGUUGUCAGCUCUUGGUGACACAAUAAACAUUAAUUUAAUUCAGAAGUGGGAAAAAGUGUUUGCCCCCUCAAAAGAACCCCACAGCAACAUCCAAAAAGCUGCAGUCUUCAUUUGCCUCAGUUAAGGUCAGAGGUCAUGCCUCCACCAUAAGAAAGAGACUGGGCAAAAAUGGCAUGCAUGGCAGAGUUUUAAGAUGAAAACCUUUGCUGAAUAAGAGGAACAUUGAGGCUCUUUUCAAUUUUUCAAGAACACAUGUUGGGCCGAAGAGCGCUACCCUAACCUCAACAUGGCUAUCUUGUGUUCAAGUUCUGUUCUUGGUUCUUUUGCCUCAUGUCUUUCCCCAUUCUCUAUGCUGUUUUCCUGUUAGAUUACGGUCAAAUAAAGACUACUAGUGACAAAAAAAAGGAACACAUCUGAUUCCUAAGGAUGGAAAGAUGAGCCAAAGUUUAACUCUUUGGAAUGUGUGUGCCUGCCAUGACAGCUAGCAUAAAAGACCUGGAAGAUUUGCUGUGAUAACUGGAACCAUGAACUCUGCUGUCUACCAUAAAAUUGUGAAGAAGAACAUCCGCCCAUUGUUUUAUGACCUUAUAAUGAAACAAACUUGGGCUCUGCAGCAAUGAUCCAAAACACACCAGCAAGUCCACCUCUGAAUGGCCAAAGAAAAACAAAUUGAAGACUUUGUAGAGGCCCAGUCAAAGUCCUGACCUUAAUCCUGAGAUGCUGUGGCAUGACCUUUAAAAGGACCAUUCUUGUUCGAAAACUGUCCAAUGUGGCUGAUUUACAGCAAUUCCACAAAGAUGAGUGCCUUGCAAAAUUAUUCAAACUCUUUGCUAUUUUUCUAACAAACUUUAGAUUUUUUGUGAUUGCCAUUAAAAUGUGCAUAAUUGUAGAGAGAAAAUGCUAUAUAAAAUGUUUUCAAACUAUUUAACAAACACAAAUGUUAACUAGAAAGUGUUCAUUUCCUAUGAAAAUGCAAGUGUGAAUGCUCAAUGCUUGAAUGCUUUUGGUGAAAAUGGCAAAAGUGUUUGAAGCCAACUACUGAAGACUUGCAGAAAGGUAAGAAAUAGUCAAUUCCGUGUGAAAAACCCAAGUAAAAGACAAAAUUAGCUAAAAAGUUAAAACUUAAUUUGGCUAGGUCACUAGCAUCUAGCCAAAAUUAACUAGAUCCUAAUGAUAGCAUUUAGGAUACCACUAACAUGCUGGGUUACAGUGAUAUAUUCCAUGCAAUGUAAAAAAAAAACCCCUGAAAAAAACUGAUGUAAAACCUAAAAUUUGAAAGGACAGAAAUGUUCCCCUAUUCCUUUUGAUAAAAACGGUGGGUGAAUGAAAUCCAUGCCUUUUAUGGUUCCUUACCUUUCAUUUGUUUGGAGGCAUCGUUUAGCAUAGUGACUACAAAGAAAUAUGCCACAUGCAGUGCAAAAAAAGCAAUGUCAAAAGCUCAAAUUAUUCCCAGGUGUUAAACAGCAUAAAAGCUGUUUAACUGCCUUACUUCAAAAUGGCCACUGCUUUGUGUGCUCCGUGACAGCUCUGGAACUGGAUGAUUGAUUGCCAUUAAUAGGCAGGAUCUAAAACAUCCACUGUGAAACACAAUGGACAUUUUAUAUUGUAAUUCUCAAUUCUGCCACAGGAUGGGGCGGUUUCCCCCAUGGGGUGAAAAAUUUAUAAAAAGCUGAAUAUUAUAAAAAGUAUGAAGGUUAUGAAUACCAAGAGAUAUAGCCGGCAUUAGGAGAUCAAACUGAAUAGUACAAAAGUUGAAUGGUGAAAAUAGCACAAAGUAUGCAGGAGAAGAAGUGCGG